AUUGAACGCUGGCGGAAUGCCUUACACAUGCAAGUCGAACGGUAACAGGUCUUCGGAUGCUGACGAGUGGCGAACGGGUGAGUAAUACAUCGGAACGUGCCCGAUCGUGGGGGAUAACGCAGCGAAAGCUGUGCUAAUACCGCAUACGAUCUACGGAUGAAAGCGGGGGAUCGCAAGACCUCGCGCGGACGGAGCGGCCGAUGGCAGAUUAGGUAGUUGGUGGGAUAAAAGCUUACCAAGCCGACGAUCUGUAGCUGGUCUGAGAGGACGACCAGCCACACUGGGACUGAGACACGGCCCAGACUCCUACGGGAGGCAGCAGUGGGGAAUUUUGGACAAUGGGCGCAAGCCUGAUCCAGCCAUGCCGCGUGCAGGAUGAAGGCCUUCGGUUGUAAACUGCUUUGUACGGACGAAAAGACUCUCUCUAAUACAGGGGUGAAUGACGGUACCGUAAGAAUAAGCACCGGCUAACUACGUGCCAGCAGCCG
rnacentral:rRNA from 1 species